rnacentral:rRNA from 1 species
GUUUGAUCAUGGCUCAGAUUGAACGCUGGCGGCAGGCCUAACACAUGCAAGUCGAGCGGUAGCACAGAAGAGCUUGCUCUUUGGGUGACGAGCGGCGGACGGGUGAGUAAUGUCUGGGAAACUGCCUGAUGGAGGGGGAUAACUACUGGAAACGGUAGCUAAUACCGCAUAACGUCGCAAGACCAAAGUGGGGGACCUUCGGGCCUCAUGCCAUCAGAUGUGCCCAGAUGGGAUUAGCUAGUAGGUGAGGUAAUGGCUCACCUAGGCGACGAUCCCUAGCUGGUCUGAGAGGAUGACCAGCCACACUGGAACUGAGACACGGUCCAGACUCCUACGGGAGGCAGCAGUGGGGAAUAUUGCACAAUGGGCGCAAGCCUGAUGCAGCCAUGCCGCGUGUAUGAAGAAGGCCUUCGGGUUGUAAAGUACUUUCAGCGAGGAGGAAGGCGAUAAGGUUAAUAACCUUGUCGAUUGACGUUACUCGCAGAAGAAGCACCGGCUAACUCCGUGCCAGCAGCCGCGGUAAUACGGAGGGUGCAAGCGUUAAUCGGAAUUACUGGGCGUAAAGCGCACGCAGGCGGUCUGUCAAGUCGGAUGUGAAAUCCCCGGGCUCAACCUGGGAACUGCAUCCGAAACUGGCAGGCUAGAGUCUUGUAGAGGGGGGUAGAAUUCCAGGUGUAGCGGUGAAAUGCGUAGAGAUCUGGAGGAAUACCGGUGGCGAAGGCGGCCCCCUGGACAAAGACUGACGCUCAGGUGCGAAAGCGUGGGGAGCAAACAGGAU